rnacentral:rRNA from 1 species
UACGAAGGGGGCUAGCGUUGCUCGGAAUUACUGGGCGUAAAGCGCACGUAGGCGGUCUUUUAAGUCGGGGGUGAAAUCCUGGAGCUCAACUCCAGAACUGCCUUUGAUACUGAAGAUCUUGAGUCCGGAAGAGGUGAGUGGAACUGCGAGUGUAGAGGUGAAAUUCGUAGAUAUUCGCAAGAACACCAGUGGCGAAGGCGGCUCACUGGUCCGGUACUGACGCUGAGGCACGAAAGCGUGGGGAGCAAACAGG